AUUGAACGCUGGCGGCAUGCCUUACACAUGCAAGUCGAACGGCAGCACGGGUGCUUGCCCCUGGUGGCGAGUGGCGAACGGGUGAGUAAUACAUCGGAACAUGUCCUGUAGUGGGGGAUAGCCCGGCGAAAGCCGGAUUAAUACCGCAUACGAUCUACGGAUGAAAGCGGGGGACCUUCGGGCCUCGCGCUAUAGGGUUGGCCGAUGGCUGAUUAGCUAGUUGGUGGGGUAAAGGCCUACCAAGGCGACGAUCAGUAGCUGGUCUGAGAGGACGACCAGCCACACUGGGACUGAGACACGGCCCAGACUCCUACGGGAGGCAGCAGUGGGGAAUUUUGGACAAUGGGCGAAAGCCUGAUCCAGCAAUGCCGCGUGUGUGAAGAAGGCCUUCGGGUUGUAAAGCACUUUUGUCCGGAAAGAAAUCCUUGGCUCUAAUACAGCCGGGGGAUGACGGUACCGGAAGAAUAAGCACCGGCUAACUACGUG
rnacentral:rRNA from 1 species